AAGAAUCUUCCUGCUAAAGCAAGAGCUGCAGGAGCCGCAAUUUCAAUCCCUGGGUCGGGACGAUCCCCUGGAGGACAAAAUGGCAACUCACUCCAGUAUUCUUGCCAGGAUAAUCCCAUGAACAGAGGAGCCUGGCAGGCUACAGCCCAUGGGGUCACAAAAAUUCGUACAUGACUGAACACACAUGCAUAGGGAAGAAAA